UACAGAGGUGGCAAGCGUUGUUCGGAAUUACUGGGCGUAAAGGGCGAGUAGGCGGCCUUCUAAGUCAGACGUGAAAUCCCCCGGCUUAACCUGGGAACUGCGUCUGAUACUGGGAGGCUAGAGUAUGGGAGAGGGAUGUGGAAUUCCAGGUGUAGCGGUGAAAUGCGUAGAUAUCAGGAGGAACACCUGCGGUGUAGACGGCUUUCUGGACCAUUGUUGACGCUGAGACACGAAAGCGUGGGUAGCAAACAGG
rnacentral:rRNA from 1 species